CCAGAGAUGGCUUGGUGCCCGAAAGGGAAUCGGAACACAGGUGCUGCAUGGCUGUCGUCAGCUCGUGUCGUGAGAUGUUGGGUUAAGUCCCGCAACGAGCGCAACCCUUAUCAUUAGUUGCUACGCAAGGGCACUCUAAUGAGACUGCCGGUGACAAACCGGAGGAAGGUGGGGAUGACGUCAAGUCCUCAUGGCCCUUAUGGGUAGGGCUUCACACGUCAUACAAUGGUCGGUACAGAGGGUUGCCAAGCCGCGAGGCGGAGCCAAUCCCACAAAGCCGAUCGUAGUCCGGAUUGUUCUCUGCAACUCGAGAGCAUGAAGUCGGAAUCGCUAGUAAUCGCAGGUCAGCAUACUGCGGUGAAUACGUUCCCGGGUCUU
rnacentral:rRNA from 1 species